rnacentral:tRNA from 1 species
CAGAUAGUAGUUUAUAAAAAUACUGGCAUUGGAAGCUAGAGAUCAAAAUUUCAUUUGUUAUCUGA